AAACCUUCUCGGCCUUUUGGCUAAGAUCAAGUGUAGUAUCUGUUCUAGUCCGUGUGAAAACUGGGUUUCAUCAUUUUUGGGGAUCUUUUCACAUUCUUUUUUGGACAUUCUUUGUUUUUCUAGCUUGCUAAGAAUUCAGAGAACGGUCUCCGGGGGUUUCGCCACUACCCCCGCGAGGCCAACUACCU
rnacentral:snRNA from 1 species